AACGAACGCUGGCGGCGGGGUUUAGGCAUGCAAGUCGAGCGAGAAAGGGGAAACCCGAGUAAAGCGGCGUAAGGGUGAGUAAUAGGUAGUUCACGUAUCCUCCAGAUGCGGAUAAUUCCCCGAAAGGGGUUGUAAUACGCGAUGAGACCACGCGGGAUCAGUCCUGCGAGGUCAAAGGUUCGGGAUCCUUCGGGACCGAGCGCUGGUGGAGCGGACGACCUCCGAUUAGCUAGAUGGCGAGGUAAUGGCUCACCAUGGCGAUGAUCGGUAGCCGGCCUGAGAGGGUGUUCGGCCACACUGGGACUGAGACACUGCCCAGACUCCUACGGGAGGCUGCAGUCGCGAAUCAUUCACAAUGGGCGCAAGCCUGAUGAUGCCACGCCG
rnacentral:rRNA from 1 species